AGUCAAAUUUAAAUAGAAUUCAAACGUUCCAAAAUAUAGGACUUUGAUAAAUCUCCAAUGAUUUUGCUAUUAAAACUAUUAAAGAGAAGCACACACUUAUUACUCAUGUUUUCUAAAUUAUAAAAGUAGUAGCCAGUCGUCAAAGAAUUCAGGAAAAUAAUAUUAUUAAAAAAAAAUGUAUUAAAGAAAAAAAUUAGAUUUAGCUUCAUCAAAAGAUGUCAUUACCAUAAACAAACACGGGUAUGCUAAUAAUUUUAACAGGUUUGUUUAAAAAAUUUAAUGUGGCAUAAUAUAAAGCAUCUGGGGGGUCUAGUGAAGGUUUACCCCAUCUCCAUAAUUAUAUCAUAAAACUUAUGCAAAUUAUAUGUAAAUUUAUAAAGAAAUAUUUUUAAGGACUGAGAAAUUAAAUUCUUUAAACAUUUUAUUCAAUUUGUGCUUAUAAUAUGUAGCAUUGUACAUAACUUUUGUGAAGCUGGGUGGGGAAGGGGAACACCUUCUCCUCCAAGUAUGAUUAAGUAAGGAUAUGGUUUAAGUAUAAGGUCUUUAAUUUAAUAUAUUAUUUAUCAAAUUAUUUAUUAAAUUUAUUAUUAAUUUUUAAAAUUGUGUAAACGAAAAAUCACAAUCUUCGUAAAUAUAAGAUAUGAUUUUUUUUUUAAUUGUAUUAAAAUUUGUAGUUAUUUUAGUAUUAUUUUUAUUUUAUUAAGAGUUCGAUUAUGACUCACUCGGACAAAUCUUCUAACCAUAAAGAGUCGGUGCCAGUCCAGGUUCACAAACAUGUAUUAAUGAAGUAGCUUGUACGAAUGGAUUACAUUUAAUAUUAUAAUCGACAACAAAACAGCAGACGCGGUACAGAAUAGUACAAUUCAUGUAUCAUUUAAAUAAAUACGUUUUGUGAUGUUUUGAUGUAUAAUCGAGCAAAAUUGAUCCAGUAGAAGAGGAGUAAUUUCUUACAUGGACAUACAAAAAAAUUAAUUUAUAAUAGCAGAGGAGUAUAACCAAUAGCCUCUAAGCUCGCAUCGAAGCUAAUAAUUAUAAAAAUUAACAGUUUUAUAAUUUCUUUAGAUAGGUGCUGUUUUUUACUACUACUUCAAUACAUAAAAAGCAAAAGAAGAUGCUUCUAAAAUAAAUAAUAUUUUAUCACCAAUAUAUUCGAAAAUUUUGAUUCCAACAGUCAACGAUGUCUGCCACCCAUGUUUACGAACGUUCGGAUCGCUAUUCAACUAAGUUACCCUUCCACCAUCUCGAUAUAUGCCUGCUAUUGUGCGCCGUGCUGUUCAACAACAAACGUUUCCUGUCUUGUUGUUGAUUAUAAAAUACGUUUGUUUACCUUGAUUGGUACCAACUUCGACUUUAAAAAUAACAUUGAUUAUAUGUACUUGAUGAUGAAAUAGAAAAAAUUGAUAUCGUCAUUUUGAGCAUUCUAUAUAAUGAAGAACAAGAUUAUUAGUAUACAUUUUCCAAACAAUCCAAAAACGUAAACAUUACCCAAAAUCACAGAUAUUAUGCACACACAAUUAGUUUUAUAUCAACUAUGGUAAAUAAAAAUGAAUAUUAGUAGACAACCACCCAUUGUACAUUUAAAAAGUAACAUUUUAGAUUUAAUGUUUUAUUUGUUUAAAUAACAAUUUCUGUAUAAGACAAAAAAGGCUUUGUAAAAAAAAGUGAAAAAACAAAUGGCCACCGAGUAUUUAAAAAAUGCCCAUUAUGAGUUACUCCAAAAUAUUAGUGAAAAUGAUUCUACAGAUUAUGGCCAAAUUCAUGAUGAUUUAUUUAGCUUUUUUAUGGGUACCCAAUAUGUGCUUCAAAAAAAAUUAAAAGUUAGUGAUGAACUUGACAGAUUUUCGGGUACAUCUACAGAAAAAAAAAAUAGAAUGUUUAUAUAAUUUACCCACAAUUAAAAAAUUUUUCAUUAAAUACAACAAUCCUCUAUCAAGCAGUAUAUCAGUUGAGAGUUUUUAGUGUUGGUGGUGCUACUUUGACUAAAAAAAGGACUGACUUAUCUGAUAAACAUUUUAAAUAAAUAAUAUUUUUAAAUGCAGCCAAUCAAUUUUCUAUUAAAAAAAAUAACUUCAAAUAUCAUUU